AGAGUGGCAGGGACACAGCCAGCACAGACUAGUAUGCCCCAGGCAUCUAUGGGAGAGUAUCUCUUUGAGCGCCUCACUCUCAAGCACGACUAGGAGGUCUCUGCCUUCC
ensembl:miRNA predicted gene, 22368